GAUGAACGCUAGCGGCAGGCUUAAUACAUGCAAGUCGUGGGGCAGCAUGAAGUAGCAAUACUUUGAUGGCGACCGGCAAACGGGUGCGGAACACGUACACAACCUUCCUUUUAGUGGGGAAUAGCCCAGAGAAAUUUGGAUUAAUACCCCGUAACAUAGCGAUGUGGCAUCACAUUGCUAUUAUAGCUUCGGCGCUAGAUGAUGGGUGUGCGUAUGAUUAGAUAGUUGGCGAGGUAACGGCUCACCAAGUCUACGAUCAUUAGCUGAUGUGAGAGAAUGAUCAGCCACACGGGAACUGAGACAAGGGCCCGACUCCUACGGGAGGCAGCAGUAAGGAAUAUUGGUCAAUGGACGAAAGUCUGAACCAGCCAUGCCGCGUGAAGGAUUAAGGUCCUCUGGAUUGUAAACUUCUUUUAUAUGGGACGAAAAAAGGUCUUUCUAGAUCACUUGACGGUACCAUAUGAAUAAGCACCGGCUAACUCCGUGCCAGCCGCCGCAGUAACAC
rnacentral:rRNA from 1 species